UGCAGAUGAUGUGAAGAAUAUUUGCUAUCUGAAUGAUAGUGCUGACAUAUCACCACCAAGAUCUCUGAUGCA